rnacentral:rRNA from 1 species
UGCGUAGGUGGCGGGGUAAGUCUGGUGUGAAAUCUCGGGGCUCAACCCCGAAACUGCACUGGAUACUGCCUUGCUCGAGUACUGGAGAGGAGAUUGGAAUUUACGGUGUAGCAGUGAAAUGCGUAGAUAUCGUAAGGAAGACCAGUGGCGAAGGCGAAUCUCUGGACAGUUACUGACACUGAGGCACGAAGGCCAGGGAGGCAAACG